UCCUUCUAGCUGAGAAGACACCACCCUUGUUGUAAUGUGUUGUAUUGGUGACUGGGUAGUUCCAGGGGCUAAAGGGAGAUAUAAAAUCACAGUGAACCCAAGUGACCAUUUCGAAUCUAACCCAAACAUGGCAAUAAAUAUGUCCAAGCUCUAACAUUUUCUCCAGUGUGCAAAAUGCCUUUGCAAGAGCCUGGAGAGAUUCCCGCUGGUCUCUGCAGGAUUUGGCUUGAGCUCCUCUGCAGGAAUUAGUUCGUGCCAGUGGAAGUAAAUAGGCCCUUGGGGAUGCUGCUGCUGCCACUGAGGCUGACUUGUGCAACUGUGCCAUCAUUCCUCUCCAACACCGCAGCCUUCUUCUGUUUGCUGAUUCCCAUACAUGCCGAGCCCACAGAGUGCCUCCCCAGACUGUUACUUACUCCUUGAGAAGCACACAUAUGCCUGGCCAGAUAAGAACCUGUCACUACAGCAGGUUUCACGCCAGGGCAGUUUUCCCAAACCAGUGCUCUUCCACAGGUCACUGGCUUACUUCAGGACUCCCCUUCACUCUCCAGCAUCAACUACAGCUCCUGCUUAAAUGGUAAGACCCUAAGCAUGUUCUUAGAGGUCCAUAAAGCAAAGCCAGAACUGCACAGAAGGGAGGGAAAAUGAGAUAUUGGAGAAGAGAGAGAAAGACAAAGGGAAAAGGAUACUUCUGGAUAUUUCAAAGAUGUCUAAACUUCACUUCCAGAUUUCCCUGGCAUGCUCAUCAAUUUCAUGUUAAGAAUUAUAAGCAACUUAUUUUUUCAUCUUCUCUCCAACCAGAGUAGAGCUAUGCAUCUACAAGUGGAGCUGUCAUUCUGCCUCCCAAGUACCUCUUCUGGAAGAGACCUUAAAAUGCAUUGUUUUGUGUAAAAAAGCAUUCAUUGCUUUGCUCCCAGCUGCAGCUGAUGUAGUAGGAGAGAGCUGCUCAUCCUUAGUUUACAGACCAGUUUGGCCACACAGCUUGCUAGGUAAAGACAGGCCAGCACACUCAGAUUGGUGCCAGGAAUAUUGCUGCUGAUUGUGCUUACCAAACCAUGUUAUGUCAGCAGCAUCCAUGUCAGAGGAGCAUGUGCAAGACCAGUUACAGCUAAUAAGCCUCUAUCUGAGGGAAAAAAUGAGACCAGAGUGAGAUUUAUGACAAUUUCAAGCACAGAAUAAGCAGUAUGAACAGAUGAGCCUCAAAGAAUGGUAAGGUCCUCUUUACAUACAAAUAUUUUUUGGGGGGGAGGGGAGUGAAGAAGGAAUAAAAUCAGAAAAUAAUAGAAUGAAUUAUAGCAAAUACUCUUUCUAAGUAAAGUCGUUUUGCAUUUCCCAUGGGAGUCAGUUGAAUGAGAGAAGACAAAAAAAAAGGAAGAGUAGAAACUGCUUGCAACACAGAACAAACCUUGAGUGCCAAGAACAUGCUCCAGAUUUUUUUAAAGAUGCCUGGCUCUUAUCUCAGCCUUGAUUCAUCACAGUUUACUCCCAGAAUUAUUCAGAAUUCAAGGACCUUGCUCCUGUGGGGUUAAUGGGUUACAUUCAGCAUUGAAACCCAUGACACAAAUAGCUGCUUAAUUAUUCACUCGAAGAUGGUUUUAGUGGCUAAUCUAAAUAAAAACAGCAACAGCAAAAAUUA